AUAUCAGUCAUGCAUAGCAUAUCAAUAAGCGGAGGAAAAGAAACUAACAAGGAUUCCCUUAGUAACGGCGAGUGAAGCGGGAAGAGCUCAAAUUUGAAAUCUUCAAGGUUUUACCUUGACGAAUUGUAGUUUAAAGAAGUGUUUUCUGUUGAAGUUUUGGUAAAAGUUCUUUGGAAUAGGGACAUCAUAGAGGGUGAGAAUCCCGUAUUUGACCAUUACUUUCAGCUUUGUGAUACACUUUCAAAGAGUCGGAUUGUUUGGGAAUGCAGUCCAAAAUGGGUGGUAAAUUUCAUCUAAAGCUAAAUAUUGGCGAGAGACCGAUAGCGAACAAGUACCGUGAGGGAAAGAUGAAAAGAACUUUGAAAAGAGAGUUAAACAGUACGUGAAAUUGUCAAAAGGGAAGCGUUUGACACCAGUGUUGUUUUCUCGAAAAUCAAUUAAAAAGAGUUGGAUUUUGUGUUGUAUUGACUUUAUCAGCUUUCUUCACUCUUUUCCAGCUUUUUUUAAUGCACUUUUCGUUUAACAAGUCAACAUCAGUUUCUUUUGUUGUAAAAAGGUCAUUGGAAGGUGGCUUUCUCUUCGGAGAAAGUGUUUAUAGCCUUUGACUCAUGCAAUCGGAGAGACUGAGGUCUGCAGCGUAGAUCCUUCGGGGUUAGAUACAUUUGUGCUAAGUUAUAGCUUUUCAUAGACAACUUGUUGACUAUGUUUAGUCUUGUAGCUUACUCGCUUAUGCUAUUUUACCUACGCUUAGGAUGUUGAACUCUAUCACACACAG
rnacentral:rRNA from 1 species